CUGGCAGGUGGUCAGGGGGCUCCCUGGUGAGCUCUCUGUCUCUCCUCUUCAUCCUGCCUGGAACCUUGACUUGCUUAUGUCAGUCUAUAAGUCCUGAACUUCUCAACCUGAAGGAUCUCAGCAUCCCCACUUGUUAGAAAAGUCACCAACAAGUCCCAGCACAUUCCCUGCCAAGUGCUGUGCACUUGUGCCCUGGACUCUCCCUUCUGUCCCUCCGCUGGCUUCCCCACCCCUCCUCUCCAGCGGAGUGCUCCUCUCCCUCCUCAGCUCCACAUUGGCCAUCUCUGCUGGUUCUGCUCCUCCUCAGCUUUCAACAACCCUUCAUCUCUCUCCUUUCAAACGUGCCCUCUGCAGACCUCACUUCCCUUCCCACUCUCCUCUCAGUUACUGCCUCAGCUCUCUCCUUCCCUCGCCAUCUCCACUUUCUUUCCUCCCAUUCUCUUUUGAACCCCUCUGACCAGACUUUUGCUCCUGCUUUUGUACGGAAACUGCUCUC
rnacentral:lncRNA from 1 species